rnacentral:rRNA from 1 species
UACGAAGGGGGCUAGCGUUGCUCGGAAUCACUGGGCGUAAAGCGCACGUAGGCGGAUCUUUAAGUCAGGGGUGAAAUCCCGAGGCUCAACCUCGGAACUGCCCUUGAUACUGGGGAUCUCGAGUCCGGAAGAGGUUGGUGAAACUCCGAGUGUAGAGGUGAAAUUCGUAGAUAUUCGGAAGAACACCAGUGGCGAAGGCGGCCAACUGGUCCGGCACUGACGCUGAGGUGCGAAAGCGUGGGGAGCAAACAGG